UGAUCCUGGCUCAGAUUGAACGCUGGCGGUAGGCUUAACACAUGCAAGUCGUGCGAGAAAGUAUCUUCGGAUAUGAGUAGAGCGGCGGACGGGUGAGUAACGCGUAGGAAUCUACCUAGUAGAAGGGGAUAGCCCGGGGAAACCCGGAUUAAUACCGUAUACCUCCUUCGGGAGAAAGAAGGCCUCUCUUUGAAGCUUUCGCUACUAGAUGAGCCUGCGUAAGAUUAGCUUGUUGGUGAGGUAAAGGCUCACCAAGGCGACGAUCUUUAGCUGGUCUGAGAGGACGAUCAGCCACAUUGGGACUGAGACACGGCCCAGACUCCUACGGGAGGCAGCAGUGGGGAAUAUUGGACAAUGGGCGCAAGCCUGAUCCAGCCAUACCGCGUGUGUGAAGAAGGCCUUCGGGUUGUAAAGCACUUUAAGCAGGGAGAAAAAGUUAUAAGUUAAUACCUUAUAACCCUGAUGUUACCUGCAGAAUAAGCACCGGCUAAUUCCGUGCCAGCAGCCGCGGUAAUACGGAAGGUGCAAGCGUUAAUCGGAAUUACUGGGCGUAAAGCGCGCGUAGGUGGUUUGUUAAGUUGGAUGUGAAAGCCCUGGGCUUAACCUAGGAACUGCAUCCAAAACUAACUCACUAGAGUACGAUAGAGGGAGGUAGAAUUCAUAGUGUAGCGGUGGAAUGCGUAGAUAUUAUGAAGAAUACCAGUGGCGAAGGCGGCCUCCUGGAUCUGUACUGACACUGAGGUGCGAAAGCGUGGGUAGCGAACAGGAUUAGAUACCCUGGUAGU
rnacentral:rRNA from 1 species